GGGCUCGUAGCUCAGCUUGGAUAGAGCGACAGCCUUCUAAGCUGAAGGUCGGGGGUUCAAAUCCCCCCGGGCCCGC
rnacentral:tRNA from 1 species